rnacentral:rRNA from 1 species
AUGCAAGUCUAGGGGGUGUAGCAAUACAUCACCGGCGGACGGGUGCGUAAAGGGGAAUAUACCUUUCGGUACGGAACAACUGAGGGAAACUUCAGCUAAUACCGUAUGCUCCGGAAACGGCAAAGAUUUAUCGCCGAAGGAUUAGCCCGCGCUCGAUUAGCUAGUUGGUGAGGUAAUGGCUCACCAAGGCUCCGAUCGAUAGCUGUUCUGAGAGGAAGAUCAGCCACACUGGGACUGAGACACGGCCCAGACUCCUACGGGAGGCAGCAGUUGGGAAUCUUGGACAAUGGGGGAAACCCUGAUCCAGCCAUGCCGCGUGAGUGAUGAAGGCCUUCGGGUUGUAAAGCUCUUUUACCCGGGAAGAUAAUGACUGUACCGGGAGAAUAAGCUCCGGCUAACUUCGUGCCAGCAGCCGCGGUAAUACGAAGGGGGCUAGCGUUGUUCGGAAUUACUGGGCGUAAAGCGCGCGCAGGCGGUUUCUCAAGUCAGUGGUGAAAGCCCGGAGCUCAACUCCGGAACUGCCAUUGAAACUGUGAAACUUGAGGACGAGAGAGGUGAGUGGAAUUCCCAGUGUAGAGGUGAAAUUCGUAGAUAUUGGGAAGAACACCGGUGGCGAAGGCGGCUCACUGGCUCGUUUCUGACGCUCAGGCGCGACAGCGUGG